CAAGUCGAACGCACAGCGAAAGGUGCUUGCACCUUUCAAGUGAGUGGCGAACGGGUGAGUAACACGUGGACUACCUGCCUCAAGGCUGGGGAUAACAUUUGGAAACAGAUGAUAAUACCGAAUAAAAAUUAGUGUCGCAUGACAAAAAGUUAAAAGGCGUUUGGGCGUCACCUAGAGAUGGAUCCGCGGUGCAUUAGUUUAGUUGGUUGGGGGUAAAGGCCCUACCCAAGACCAAUGAUGCAUAGCCGAGUUGAGAGGGUGAUCGGCCAACAUUGGGACUGAGACACGGCCCCAAACUCCUACGGGAGGCUGCAGUAGGGGAAUUCUUCCACAAUGGGCGAAAGUCUGAUGGAGCAACGCCGCGUGUGUGAUGAAGGCUUUCGGGUCGUAAAGCUCUGUUGUAUGGGAAGAACAGCUAGAAUAGGAAAUGAUUUUAGUUUGACGGUACCAUACCAGAAAGGGACGGCUAAAUACGUGCCAGCAGCCGCGGUAAUACGUAUGUCCCGAGCGUUAUCCGGAUUUAUUGGGCGUAAAGCGAGCGCAGACGGUUUAUUAAGUCUGAUGUGAAAGCCCGGAGCUCAACUCCGGAAUGGCAUUGGAAACUGGUUAACUUGAGUGCAGUAGAGGUAAGUGGAACUCCAUGUGUAGCGGUGGAAUGCGUAGAUAUAUGGAAGAACACCAGUGGCGAAGGCGGCUUUCUGGUCUGCAACUGACGUUGAGGCUCGAAAGYGUGGGUAGCAAACAGGAUUAGAUACCCUGGUAGUCCACACCGUAAACGAUGAACACUAGGUGUUAGGAGGUUUCCGCCUCUUAGUGCCGAAGCUAACGCAUUAAGUGUUCCGCCUGGGGAGUACGACCGCAAGGUUGAAACUCAAAGGAAUUGACGGGGACCCGCACAAGCGGUGGAGCAUGUGGUUUAAUUCGAAGCAACGCGAAGAACCUUACCAGGUCUUGACAUCCUUUGAAGCUUUUAGAGAUAGAAGUGUUCUCUUCGGAAACAAAGUGACAGGUGGUGCAUGGUCGUCGUCAGCUCGUGUCGUGAGAUGUUGGGUUAAGUCCCGCAACGAGCGCAACCCUUAUUGUUAGUUGCCAGCAUUCAGAUGGGCACUCUAGCGAGACUGCCGGUGACAAACCGGAGGAAGGCGGGGACGACGUCAGAUCAUCAUGCCCCUUAUGACCUGGGCUACACACGUGCUACAAUGGCGUAUACAACGAGUUGCCAACCCGCGAGGGUGAGCUAAUCUCUUAAAGUACGUCUCAGUUCGGAUUGUAGUCUGCAACUCGACUACAUGAAGUCGGAAUCGCUAGUAAUCGCGGA
rnacentral:rRNA from 1 species